AUCUAGCCUCUAACUUGCAUGCCUACUAUCGCUUGAUAUGGGUCAGAUAUCUCUAAAUCUUGAGGUACCUAAUGGUUAGCCUCUUACCAUGUUAUAACUCGUAUGAUGUGGUUGGAACUGAUUUAGAAGAAACUCGAUCUAAAAGAUGAAUCGUGAAAUGUAAUGCAUAUCCUUAGAGAAAGAUAGGAAGAUUUGUGAAGCUCAUCAU
rnacentral:lncRNA from 1 species